rnacentral:ncRNA from 1 species
AAAAACGCUAUGAACGGAAUAAGUAUCAUCAGCUUUUCUUCAAAGAGAGUCAGUGCCCGGUGAAAACUGACAGAAAACUGAUGAGAAUCCAUCCCGGAGCGUCUGGUGAUGAGCCAGGACGGAUCCUCCCCGUUACGGAGGUCGAGCCGGAAGAGCAGCUGCUCUUCAACCGGGGUGGUAUCGCGGGAAGUCAGACUCUCGUCCCUUUU